rnacentral:rRNA from 1 species
UACGGAGGGUGCAAGCGUUGUUCGGAAUUAUUGGGCGUAAAGCGCGUGUAGGCGGUUGUUUAAGUCUGAUGUGAAAGCCCCGGGCUCAACCCGGGAAGUGCAUUGGAAACUGGGCAACUUGAGUACGGGAGAGGGAAGUGGAAUUUCGAGUGUAGGGGUGAAAUCCGUAGAUAUUCGAAGGAACACCGGUGGCGAAGGCGGCUUCCUGGACCGAUACUGACGCUGAGACGCGAAAGCGUGGGGAGCAAACAGGAUUAGAUACCCUGGUAGUCCACGCCGUAAACGAUGGGCACUAGGUGUUGCGGGUAUUGACCCCUGCAGUGCCGAAGCUAACGCAUUAAGUGCCCCGCCUGGGGAGUACGGCCGCAAGGCUAAA